rnacentral:rRNA from 1 species
ACGAACGCUGGCGGCGUGCUUAACACAUGCAAGUCGAACGCUGAAGGCCCAGCUUGCUGGGUUGGAUGAGUGGCGAACGGGUGAGUAACACGUGAGUAACCUGCCCCCUUCUUUGGGAUAACGGUCGGAAACGGCUGCUAAUACCGGGUAUUCACUGUCCUUCGCAUGGGGGGUGGUGGAAAGGUUUUUUCUGGUGGGGGAUGGGCUCGCGGCCUAUCAGCUUGUUGGUGGGGUGAUGGCUUACCAAGGCUUUGACGGGUAACCGGCCUGAGAGGGUGACCGGUCACAUUGGGACUGAGAUACGGCCCAGACUCCUACGGGAGGCAGCAGUGGGGAAUAUUGCACAAUGGGCGAAAGCCUGAUGCAGCGACGCCGCGUGAGGGAUGACGGCCUUCGGGUUGUAAACCUCUUUCGCUCAUGGUCAAGCCGCAACAGUGGUUGUGGUGAGGGUAGUGGGUAAAGAAGCACCGGCUAACUACGUGCCAGCAGCCGCGGUAAUACGUANGGUGCGAGCGUUGUCCGGAAUUAUUGGGCGUAAAGGGCUUGUAGGCGGUUUGU